UACAGAGGUCUCAAGCGUUUGUUCGGAUUCAUUGGGCGUAAAGGGUGCGUAGGCGGCGCGGUAAGUCGGGUGUGAAAUCUCGGGGCUUAACUCCAGAACUGCCUUUGAUACUGGCGAUCUCGAGUCCGGGAGAGGUGAGUGGAACUGCGAGUGUAGAGGUGAAAUUCGUAGAUAUUCGCAAGAACACCAGUGGCGAAGGCGGCUCACUGGCCCGAUACUGACGCUGAGGCACGAAAGCGUGGGGAGCAAACAGG
rnacentral:rRNA from 1 species